GUUGGCAUUACAUCAUGUCAUGCCUAUCAUCCCUGCUACUGGGGAGGCUGAGGCUGGUGGAUCACUUGAACUCAGGAGUCCUGAACUACAGUUGGGCUAAAGCAAAUCAGGUGUCCAUAUAAAUCUGGUGCUAAUAUGGUGCACUCCCAAGGAUGGGGGAGGGCACCAGGUUGCCCAAGAGAAAACAAACCUGCACAGGUCAAAAACAGAGCAGAUUAAAGUUUCUGCUCUAAUCAGAAGUAGGAGUAGGUCUGUGAGUGGCCAGUACACCUCUCACCUGGGCAAGAUGGGGAAACCCAGCCUUGU
ensembl:misc_RNA Metazoa_SRP Metazoan signal recognition particle RNA